rnacentral:tRNA from 1 species
AAGAUAUUAGUAAAAAUUACAUAACUUUGUCAAAGUUAAAUUAUAGGUGGAAGUCCUAUAUAUCUUU